GCGCCCAUAGCUCAGCUGGAUAGAGUGUUGGUUUCCGAAGCCAAAGGUCGCAGGUUCGACUCCUGCUGGGCGCGCCA
rnacentral:tRNA from 1 species